UACGUAGGGUGCGAGCGUUAAUCGGAAUCACUGGGCGUAAAGCGCACGUAGGCGGAUUGUUAAGUCAGGGGUGAAAUCCUGGAGCUCAACUCCAGAACUGCCUUUGAUACUGGCGAUCUUGAGUCCGGGAGAGGUGAGUGGAACUCCGAGUGUAGAGGUGAAAUUCGUAGAUAUUCGGAAGAACACCAGUGGCGAAGGCGGCUCACUGGCCCGGUACUGACGCUGAUGUGCGAAAGCGUGGGGAGCAAAC
rnacentral:rRNA from 1 species